rnacentral:rRNA from 1 species
UACGGGGGGGGCAAGCGUUGUUCGGAAUUACUGAGCGUAAAGGGCUCGUAGGCGGCCCUCUCAGUCGGAUGUGAAAUCCCCAGGCUUAACCUGGGAAUGGCAUCCGAUACUGGAGGGCUUGAAUUCGGGAGAGGGAUGCAGAAUUCCAGGUGUAGCGGUGAAAUGCGUAGAUAUCUGGAGGAAUACCGGUGGCGAAGGCGGCAUCCUGGACCGAGAUUGACGCUGAGGAGCGAAAGCUAGGGGAGCAAACGGG